rnacentral:misc_RNA from 1 species
AGCUCUUCACCACGUCAUCGUGCUAGUUUUUGGAUCUGGCGGCUGCCCUUCCCUUCCUCUCGUGGCCGCGCGUGCACUUCUGUGUGCGCGGGGGCUGGUCGGUGCCGCCAUCUCGCUUAUUCGCUGUCUCUCUUCUCUCAUGUCAUGUCUGAGGCGUCGACCUCGUUCUCCUGGGCGGCGGUGGACGCCGCGCUCACGCGCGGCGAUGCAAGUUGCGUUGCUGCGACCGCACUAGAGGGAUUGCGUGCGGCUACUUUCAACGGCCGCGAGCAGUUCUUCUCUCAGUUGUCCUCGGCGCUGCUAAGCCGCGCGCGCGCGCCAGAAACCGCCAGCUGUGUUGCAGAGGCGUGCGAGGAACUCUGGGGGAUGCCGGAGUUCCGCUCAAAUUCGUCAUCCGGCUCCAGCUUGACAGGCGAAGCGCUGCUGCUUGCGGUCACUUUGGCGACGGCAUACACCACUGUCGACAAGCUCGAAAGGGCCAUCGCAUUCGACGCGGAGGUGCUGCAGUCCUCCGCGUUUUUCACGUACGAUGGGCUUACCCCGUGGGACCGCCUGGCCUGCGUGGCACGCGUCUUGAGGGCAUCGCGAGUCACGGCGAACCCGCGCCACGCGGACUCGGCAGUGCAGAAAGGAAUGUCCCUCUACCACGGCAUCGCCGGCCGAGCGCGUCUCGAAAGCGGUGACAAGGAGACGCAACGGCAUCGCCACGCCGUCGUGUGCGCAUACCUACUAGAGCUUGGUUUGUAUCGUCAAGAGCGUCACGAUUACCUGCGCGCCUUCCAGUCUUUUUUUGCCCUGCACGAAAACAGCGACGAUGCGGCGGCGCUCCAGCGCGCUGCACUGUGCGCCUUGUGUGUUCGCACAGGGGAGGCGGAUCGACAGGCAGCGCUGUACGGUGUCACGCAGCGCGGGAGCGCCGCCCUUCUCGCGCUGCCGCCGUACAAUUACGUGCAGCUCGCGUACAACGGUCAACUUUUCAGCGCUGCUGACGUGGAGGGUGUGCUGGCAGCGGCCGGGCCGUACGUGCCGCAACCGAUUCUUCGCGACGCCCUGCGCGAGCACAACAUCAUCAUUCUAGCCAAGACGUUCGAGUGUGUGCACUGGCGUUCCCUCUGCUUGCACAUGGAUGACAAACACAUCACGGAGGGCGAGCUGUACGACCUUCUCGUGUCUAUGGUGCGGUCACAACGGGUCUGCGCUGCGAUUCACCACGACACCGGUUUCAUCGAGUUUACCAGCGAUGCUGGGGCGCACGCGCAAAUCACCGACAUCGACGCAUUCAAGCGCAUUGCAGCGGCCGCGGCGGCGAUCGGCAAGGCGCGUCCUGAACUGCUUCUAGUGUGAGGUAAAGGCGGAGAACUUGAAUGAGAAGUGUAUGUGUCUCGCAGCGGCGGCAGGUUCCAUCCCUUUGGCUCCUGGCUCAUUCCCGGAAUCUCUCAUCUCCCCGUAUGUGCCUCGUGAUGAUCGUCAAAUCCGCUUGCUCUCGCUUGCCAU